UACGGAGGGAGCUAGCGUUGUUCGGAAUUACUGGGCGUAAAGCGCACGUAGGCGGCUUUGUAAGUUAGAGGUGAAAGCCCGGGGCUCAACUCCGGAACUGCCUUUAAGACUGCAUCGCUUGAAUCCAGGAGAGGUGAGUGGAAUUCCGAGUGUAGAGGUGAAAUUCGUAGAUAUUCGGAAGAACACCAGUGGCGAAGGCGGCUCACUGGACUGGUAUUGACGCUGAGGUGCGAAGGUCAGGGGAGCAAACAGG
rnacentral:rRNA from 1 species